rnacentral:rRNA from 1 species
AGAGUUUGAUCCUGGCUCAGAUUGAACGCUGGCGGCGUGCCUAACACAUGCAAGUCGAGCGGUAACAGGUGUAGCAAUACAUGCUGACGAGCGGCGAACGGGUGAGUAAUGCUUUGGAAUCUUCCCAGUAGUGGGGAAUAACCAGUCGAAAGAUUGGCUAAUACCGCAUACGUCUGUAAGGGGAAAGCGGGGGCUCGUAAGACCUCGCGCUAUUGGAUGAGCCAAAGUCGGAUUAGCUUGUUGGUGGGGUAAUGGCCUACCAAGGCGACAAUCCGUAGCUGGUCUGAGAGGACGACCAGCCACACCGGAACUGAGACACGGUCCGGACUCCUACGGGAGGCAGCAGUGGGGAAUAUUGGACAAUGGGGGAAACCCUGAUCCAGCGACGCCGCGUGUGUGAAGAAGGCCUGCGGGUUGUAAAGCACUUUUAGUGGGGACAAA